rnacentral:rRNA from 1 species
GACGAACGCUGGCGGCGUGCCUAAUACAUGCAAGUCGAACGCAGUGGGGACGGGUGAGUAACACGUGGGUAACCUCCCAUCAGAGGGGAUAACACUUGGAAACCGGUGCUAAACCGACAUUGAUGGAUGGACCCGCGGUGCAUUAGCUAGUUGGUGAGGUAACGGCUCACCAAGGCCACGAUGACUAGCCGACCUAUGAGGGUGAUCGGCCACACUGGGACUGAGACACGGCCCAGAAUCCUACGGGAGGCAGCAGUAGGUAAUCUUCGGAAAUGGACGAAAGUCUGACCGGGCACCGCCGCGUGAGUGAAGAAGGUUUUCGGAUCGUAAAACUCUUUUGUUAGAGAAGCGGUAUCUAACCAGAAAGCCACGGCUAACUACGUGCCAGCCGCCGCGGUAAUUC